AUUAUCGACUUUAGCGACUUUAUGUGUCCAUUCGCGCACAUCUCUACUUGACAUACGAAGUCCGAAAAGGAGAGGAAGUGGGUGUUUGUGUGUUAUUAUUGUCGAACAAUGGAAAGUCGCCCGUGCAUUGGAGGUGUAUGAUCUCAUAAAAAAGGAUUUGAAUCGUUUGAAUGAUAUCGUAAUUUUUCUCCUCUGCAAUAAAUUUUUCAUUGUGUCAUGCGGAUCUGUGUCACGGAGUGACAGGACUUGAUUAUUUGGGCGAGAAAAGAAUUGUAUUGUUAGAAAUCAAGACCUGGGUGUUAGUUUUCUCCUUUGUUUAUCUGACUGCAUUGGUGAACUUCUACAAACAUUAAAGGCGAAUUACUUUUGUAGGUUGUGCCAUGCCGGCAGCAGCUAAAUUAAGGAAAUAUGAAGAACAUAACGUACGCAGUUUGAGAAACAAGAUGUUGAAAUCUGCAUGUGGAUAGACAGUACAGUAUUGUAACAUUUCGCAGACGUGAACAAGUUGUCAGUAUAGCUCUGUUGCAGGAUAUGUUGUAAUGUUGAAUGGCAGUGUAUACGGACUCCCACUGACAGUGAAUUCAAGAAAUAUCAGUCUAGGGCUGUAUUUAUACUAAGCGUGCAAAUACUCAGAAGAAGUGCAGAUUAAAAUGUCACCAAGACCUGGUAUGCCUCCAGGCACGAGUACUGACGCACCACCUUCACCGCCUCCCAAUGAACCGCCGUCACCGAGACAGAUGAAAUGUGCUGAAGGGUUGCCAGAGCCUCCUGGUCUAAAUGAAGUUGAGAUAAUUCUCAGACCUAAUCGUACUUUAAUGGGAAGGAAUUGCACAGUCGUUAAAUCAUUAAAAUUGAGAGCUACACGUUACCUUCGAACGACGAUUAAUGCUUCAAUUGAUCACUUGAAGGAGUACUUGCAGUAUUGUUUGUCACGUGACCUGCAAUGUGAUAUUAAAGUGGCAGACAUGUCUAUUUAUGUACAACCAGCACCUCAUGGUCCGAUGAUAGAAGUUAAGGGAACCCAGACAAUCCGUUGUGUCCGGUACAAGUACUGGAGGUUUAGCUUAUCACCUAUUACACUUUAUUAUUGCUGCAAGAAAGGCUGAUUUCACAGUAUUCACCAACAUUUUUCAGGCAUGAAUGUACAGUAAUGAAAAAAGGACUCUGAAAUGGAUAUUGAGACAACCCAUAAUUUAUUUAUAAAAUGAUGAGCAAUAAAAGUGUUUAUAUUAUGGUUAUGAAAACUAGAAUUUUGAGAGAUUUCACACGUGAAAAGAUUUGAGCAUAUGUGAGACAACUUGGGAGCACACGGAAUUUGGCUGUGCAUUAGAGAUUGUCAGUAGUGAUAAACUGUAAGUAAGUUUAAGUUAUCUUGCUAUAUUUCAUCAGCUGCAAGGAAUGUAAGACCUAUUGAUUUGUAUAAAGAAAGUGGUCUCUUGUACAUAAUUACUAGUCAGAAUUCAUAUAUUACUGGAAAAUAUAUUAUUUGAAACCAAACAUAGAACACUUGACACAGUCUAGUUACCCCCAAGACUAAACAUAUGCCAAGUUAAAUAUUUCUGUAACAGACCUCAUCUAAAUGCUUUCUUCACUUCUUGAAACUAGACUAGUUACCUUAUAUCCUUUUUCCUUGAUUUUCAUUCUUUUCUUCCCUCCUUCAAUUCCUUUUAUCUGAUCUUUUAACCUGUUGUAGGUAAUGAUAUUCCAUAUUUGUUUGGAACCAUAACUGUAGGGUCAUGUAGCAGCAAUAAUAUAAGGCCUUGAUGACAACAGAAACUGUCAUUGACUGCUUUAAGGUAACUUUACUGAUUCAAAUUUCAGUGCUAUUCAUUCACGACGAGACGAUCCCACACAUGCAUAACAGUAAAACCCUUUGUAGUCACAAUUUCUACUGGAAGAGACAAGACUGACUAUAGGAAGUGAGAGAGAUAAUCUGUAACAUAUCUUGCUCUGCUGUGACAAUUGAGAGACUGUACAUGUCAGCUGUUGACUAAAUUUAAAAAAAAAAAAAAAAAAAAAAAAAAAAAAGCAACCCCAGUAAAUGAGAAUAUUUGAAUAUUUGCUGCUCACUGAAAAGUAUUUUAUCAAAGCAAUAUUUGCAGUCUAGGAAUAUAACACUGUUGUGUUAUAUAAUAGUCCAGUGUAGUCAUUUACUUCCUAAAAGUGCAUAUGAAAUCUAAUGCUUAACAGUAAUCCAAAUAAUAUCCAUUUAAAAUCUAGAAUCUUGUGCAAGUAGUUAGGUGGUUAUACAUUACAAUAGCUUUCUGCACAUUUUGUAUCGACACUCUUUGUUGUCAUCGCAUUAAUAAAAGAUGCGCUCAUACAACUGUAGUGUGCAUUUUCAAAUAUUUUAAUGUAAUUUUUAAGCAUAUUAAUGGAGAAAAUUGUAACAGACUGAAGUCCCACGUUAAUAUUAACAACUUUAGAAACUCUCUCUUCCUAUCCUGUCAUUCAAUAUUACUAGAUUUCUUAAUACUGAAUGAGUCAUCCACAGUGUGUGUAGCACAUCAGUAACCAUGUAUUCAAUGGUUAAACAGUAGGCAGUCAGCUUUAAGAAGUGAUUGUGCCUCUGUUUAUGCAGUCCUUAUAAUGAACGGUGGUUGUUUAUUGUUCUGUCCAAUCAUGGUACUCUACUACAUGCACUGGCUGACUGUUAAAACUGUGCAUAUUCUGUUAGUGGGUGAUGCAUGUUUCUUAAAUUUAUCUUUUCAUGGUAUAUUACCAGCAUGAUCAAUCUUGCUGUGAGAACAUUCUCAGAUAAACACUAAAAGUGAUGGAUUUGCAUGUUUUACAUGACCACUGUUUUGUUUUUAACAAACCUAAUUCAAUUUUCAAAGGUCGACAUAUCACGUCUUCUAAAUUUUUCGAUGGUUAAGUUCAGUUUCCAUUUUUUUUAUCAUCCAAGGAAUUAUUACUGAUAAAGUUCUCGAGCCCAAAAGAAGUUACUUCUGGCAUUUAUAAUCAACUGAUAAGAUAUCAGGAAAGUCAUUGUACAUAGGAAGUUCCUCACCUACAAAUAAGUGUUGUGGGCAUGGGGAAAAAAAAAAAAAAAAAAUGAAUUGUGUUCUCUCAUCCAUGUGAUUUUAGAUUUUGAUAGACCAAAUCCAACUUCAGUGAUAAUUCUACAGCAUAUGAGGUUAGACAUACAGCAGGUAGUAUGCAUUUGAUAAUAUCUUGACUAGUGCAGCAUUGGUGCAUUUUUACUUCUGAAUUAUAAUGCAUGUUUAAUACUUUAUUAUUGUGAGUUAGAUAUCUAACUUAAUUUGAACUAGUAUGAGUAAGAUGUGGGUAUGUGUGGGGAAGGGUAUGUGGAAAGAUAGGCUAUUGAAAAUGAUUGUCAUAUGUUAAUCAUUGCAGUUAAUAAGACACAUCAUCUUAUGGGGUAUCCAUUGCAGUACUUCUGGAUGAGUGAUAAUAUCAGUAUGUUUAACAAGCUAAGAGUCAUUUGACUGAACAUUUUGCUUGAUACAGUACUCUGUAAGUAGGCAAGAUUAGAGAAACAGAUGUAUGCAAGCACUCAAUCUGUUGUAAGAAAUUUGAAUUUUACAGCCUUGACAUUUACUUGUAGCUAAACAUGUGAAAGAUAUUAUUAAUACUUACAGAAAUUUACAAACUGAUUGACCAAAAGUUAUGGUAUUAAAAAGUAGAGUUUGAGUCAAAGAACAAUUAUUUAAUUUGAUUGGAUUAUUAGUACACUGAUCAGCUCUAUUAAUUUAAUUUUAGUAAUAGAAACUAGUACAUUCUGAAAUCCACUAUAAUUCCUCUAAGUACUUUCAAAUCUGGUUACUGUGUUCAUUUCUUGUUCUCUCUCUACAAUCUCUCUCCCCCCCCCCCCCCCCCCUACUUACCUCCAGUACUAAAUUGGUGAUCCCUUUAUGUCUCAGAAUGUGUUCUAUUAACCAAUCCCUUCUUUUCGUCAAGUUGAGCAUAAAUUUCUUUUCUCCUCUCAUUAGUUACAUGAUCUACCCAUCUAAUCUUCAGCAUUUUUCUGUAGCACCAUAUUACAAAGUUUUCUGUUCUCUUCAUGUCUAAGCUGUUUAUGAGCUCUGUUUCAUUUCCAUAUAUGACUAUGAUGCAGACAAAUACCUUCAGAAAAGACUUUCAAACAUCUAAAUGUGUAUCUGAUAUUACCAAAGUUCUCUUCUUUAGCAAUGCUUCUCUUGCUAUUGCCAAUCACAUUUUAUAUCCUGUCUAUUUUGGCCAUCGUUCAUUAUCUUACUGCCCAUAUAGCAAAACUUGUUUCCUACUUUUAGUGUCUCAUUUUGUAAUCUAAUUCCAGACUACAUUCCAUUUACUCUUGUUUUGCUUUUGUUGGUGUUAUUCUUAUACCCUCCUUUCAAGAAACUGUCCAUUCUGUUCAACUUCUCUUCCAAGUCCUUUGUUGUCAUUGAUAAACCCUAAAAGUUUUUAUUUCUUCUCCCUGAACUUUCUUUCCAUCUUUGUUAGUUACUCUCAUGUUCCAUGAAUGAUUUUGCACAAUAAAUUAUAAUGCUGUGGAUGGAUUUUACAUUCACAUCGCAAAUUAAUUUGUAAGUGUGCCUACUUGCUGAACAUUUGUAAUUUUUUUUUAAAAUAAUUCCUAUCCCACACAUUUUAAACAUUACAGAAAUAGAAAUUCUUCUGCAGAGUAGGAGGAGUUGUCAAGGAGUAACUUCUUCAGUUUUAUUUUUAAAUUUCUUUGGGGUUGCUUAGACAUUUUAUGUCACUGGGUAAGUGAUCAAAAAUUUUAGCUACUGCAUUAUGCAAUGUUUUCUGUGCUAAAGCCAACUUUAAUAUGAAGUAAUAAGUGUCAUUUUUCCUUCUGGUAUUGUGGUUAUGUACAUAAUUGUUUCUUUUGAACUGCAGUAUGUUAUUUACAACAAACUUCUUGAGGGAAUAAUUAUACUGUGAACCAGUUGUCAGAAUACGUAACUCCUUAAACAGAUAUCUACAAGAUGAUCAUGGGUGAGCACCUCAUGUUAUUCUUAGAGCAUGUUUUCUUUCUUAAAACUUUGUUUCCCCAAAACUUUGUUCCAUAGGACAUCAGUGAAUGAAAAGAUCCAAAAUAUGUCAACUCACUGAUUUAUCUCUCCCAAAGAUUCACUAUGAUUUUAAGUGCAAAAGUGAAGUAAGUUUUUUUGUGCUUCAAUUUUUUCUUUGGUGUCCUUUACUGCUUUCUCAGUGUACAGAUUGAAUAAUAUUGGGGAUAGGGUACAACCCUGUCUCAGUCUCCUCUCAACCACUGCUUCCCUUCCAUGCCCCUUGACUCACAUAACUGCGGUGUGGUUACUGUACAAGUUGUAAAUAACCUUUUGUCCCCUGUAUUUUACCCUGACUGCCUUCAAAAUUUCAAAGCCUUUAUUCCAGUCAGCAUUGUCAAAUACUAUCUUUAAACCUACAAAUGCUAUAAAUGUAAGUUGGCCUUUAUCUUUGAAGGGAAAUUGUAUGGUCAGUAUUGCUUGGGUGUUCCUGUAUUUUUCAGGUAUCGAAAUUGAUCUUCCCGUGAGGUCACCUCCUACCAGUUGUUCCAUUCUUCUGUAAAGAAUCCACAUUAGGAAUUUUUAACCAUGACUAAUGAAACUGAUAGAUUGGUAAUAUUCACAAAUGUAAAUCCUUGUAAAGGUAUUAAAAUUCUGACCUUUUGUGACUGCUUGCUUUCAAGAUUAUUUUCCUUUCCCUGUAAUCAACAUUGCUGUUGCACACUAAUGACUUGGAGGUAGUUGCUUCAAAUCCUUUUGAUGGAAAUUUUCUUCAUCAGCAUUUCACCAACAAAUGUAUAAUCAGACUGUCGAAGUGAAUUAGCUUAAAUUGUGAAUUUGUCAAAGAUUUCCAAUGAAAUGAGAAUAUGUGAUAUUUUUCUUCUCCUGUUUGAAUAGAAUAAACUAAGUGCCACCAUGAGGUUUCAUUUCAUCAUCAUCAUCAUCAUCAUCAUCAUUACAAGCAACAGCAGCAAUCACCACUAACACGUGAUGUUAUAGUGUACAAAACUACUCAGUCACCUGUAAAUAUCUGCAGCAUUUACACCAAAGAUACACAUCAUGUUUUGGCACAGAAACAUGUCUAAAGGGUGACAAAUAAAGAAAUCCUUAUAAAUGUAGGCAGCUGAAUGCAUAGAGCAUCUCAGCCACCAACACUAUGUAACUGCAAUUUUAACAGGUGCAUCUGAAGAAGGAAUGUAGAAGGAUGUGUAAAUAUAGUUGAGACAUAAAAAUUGCAAGCUGGCAAUCAUAUUUCCUGGAAAGAAUAGUGUGCUGAAAUUACGAAAGAUAUUGAAUCAUUAUUUAAGCGAUACUAAAAAUUUUUAAGAAUGACUACAGUUCACAUAACUAUUGAAAAAUCUUGCGGAUUUCAAUUGAUGCCACUUUCCUUCUUCACCCAACAGUCCUAGAAGCUUGGGUUAUUAUUUUAUACUUAAAUAAAUGUUGAAAGAGUUUUUACUUGGCAGAUGGCACUAUAGAUAAUAAUAUAAAAAGGCACUAAAUAUCAGAUUCAGAAAUUCCUUCAUUAGCCAAGUGAAGGGAAUAGGACAGCUGCAUCGUGAAGUAGGAAAGUUGUCAAGGUAAACUGGGCCCGGUAAGAAGAGCAGUUAUUGCUUUAUGAUUGUUGAAUCCAUUAGUUUUGUUGUAAUACAAUGACAUUUUAUGAUUUUUUUACCUGCACUACUAAAGAAACGUGGUAGUUCUAGUAUAAAAAUAUCUUUGUUGCAUAUAGUGUUGCAUGGACCAUGUUAUAUUUUAAUACUUUAUGAAGUUGAUUAUAUUUGUUUAAAAUAGCCUGCUCGGGAACUGUUACAAUUAUAUUUGUAUUCUACACAUUCAUUUCCUUGUUGGUUCCUUGUGACAGCUAAGAGGAAAGAAGCAGUGAUACAUUAAUAUAGAAUGAUUUAAAGACCUUGUAUUGAUUCUUCUGCUACCUAUAGUUACAACAGACUUGAUAGCUGUUCAUAAUUGUUAUGUAGCUCUAUGAAUGCAACUGAGAAAAUGAGUUGAAAUUAUAGAUGAAAUAUGAUGUUAAUUUCAUCUUGGUGUAACAGAAUCAUAUAGAAAUUAAAAGCUUAUUUUGUAUUGAUU